GUAUUCCAGGGGAAACUCAUUCAGGCAAGUUCAGCCCUUUAUGAGGAAUUCCCCUGUGGUCACAUUCCAAUUCCUGGACCUGCUGCCACCCUCAGAACUGCAUGCUCCUUCUUCAGACUUUCUAAGAAUGACUCAGGUCAUUGGUGGAGUGAAGUCAAGAUUUCCAACUCAGUCACCUGAAGAGAUGGAGAUACCAUUCAUGGAGCUGGAGGUCCCUGGAGAUUUGGGAAUUCAGAUAACAAGCUAAGAUAAGGAGUUGGCCUACCUCUGUUCUAGAGCGAAGCCUGAGCCUUGGGCACGCAGCACACCACAAGUAUCUGUUACUGUGUUUUGCAGAAGCUUCAGGCGGGGAUAUAAGCCCCACAAGGAAAGCGCUGAGCAGAGGAGGUCUCAGCUUGACCUGCGGCAGUGCAGCCCUUGGGACUUCCCUCGCCUUCCACCUUCUGCUCGUCUGCUUCACAAGCUAUCGCUAUGGUGUUCGUGCGCAGGCCGUGGCCCGCCUUGACCACAGUGCUUCUGGCCCUGCUCGUCUGCCUGGGGGCGCUGGUCGACGCCUAUCCCAUCAAACCCGAGGCUCCCGGCGAAGACGCCUCCCCGGAGGAGCUGAACCGCUACUACGCCUCCCUGCGCCACUACCUCAACCUGGUCACCCGGCAGCGGUGAGCGCAGGC
rnacentral:lncRNA from 1 species